rnacentral:lncRNA from 1 species
CCAGCCUACAUUCUGCGACAUGGCUGAUUACUCGUGCUCAGAAUUAAUGUGCCAUCUGGAAACCUGAGAUCAUGCCAUAAAAGGAAUUUUGGCUUUUUUUGGCAACCAGUCAUCAGGAUAUGCUGUGACUGCACCUUAUCAGAAUAAUGAAACAUAAUUAGAAAGGUGUAUUAACUCCUGUGCUUCAAAGAAUUUUUAUAUUUGGAAUUUUAUGUGCACCUUGAAAAUAAAAAAAAAUGACUGAAAAUUUAUCUCAGUGUUAAGGUGAUUAAUUAUAUAGUUGUUGGAUUCUUAAGCCUGAAUGUAAAUGAAAUUUCUUAUGACUAAAAUGGUUCUGAGCUAUUUCUAAACACUGUAUGCUAGAUUUUUAUUCUGGUGUUAAGCAAAUACAA